rnacentral:rRNA from 1 species
GAUCCGGGGAUGUCCGAAUGGGGAAACCUAGCACCAGUCAUGUGGUGUUGCCUCCGUCUGAAUGUAUAGGGCGGUUGGUGGUAACGCGGGGAAGUGAAACAUCUCAGUACCCGUAGGAGAAGAAAACAAAUAGUGAUUCCGUGAGUAGUGGUGAGCGAAAGCGGAGGAGGCUAAACCGUGCGCGUGUGAUAGCCGGCGGGCGUUGCGUGUGCGGGGUUGUGGGACCUUCCGGGGGAGACCGCUGUCUCCUCGAACAGUGAGAAAUCGGUGGGGUAGUCGAACGCUCUGGGAAGGGCGGCCGUAGACCGUGAUAGCCGGGUAGGCGAAAUUCUGCCGACUGUUGGGAGUGUUCCCGAGUAGCACGGGGCUCGAGGAAUCCUGUGUGAAUCUGCCAGGACCACCUGGUAAGCCUAAAUACUUCCUGGUGACCGAUAGUGAACGAGUACCGUGAGGGAAAGGUGAAAAGCGCCCCGGUGAGGGGUCGUGAAAUAGUACCUGAAACCGUGUGCCUACAAGCCGUAGGAGCGUAAACAAGCUUGCUUGUUUGUGAUGUGACUGCGUGCCUUUUGAAGAAUGAGCCUGCGAGUUAUGGUGUGUGGCGAGGUUAACCCGUGUGGGGGAGCCGUAGCGAAAGCGAGUCUGAAUAGGGCGUUUUGAGUCGCAUGCUGUAGACCCGAAGCGGGGUGAUCUACGCAUGGGCAGGUUGAAGCGUGGGUAAGACUGCGUGGAGGACCGAACCCACCAGGGUUGAAAACCUGGGGGAUGACCUGUGUGUAGGGGUGAAAGGCCAAUCAAACUCCGUGAUAGCUGGUUCUCCCCGAAAUGCAUUUAGGUGCAGCGUUGCGUGUUGCUUGCCGGAGGUAGGGCUCUGGAUGGCUGAUGGGCCCGACAAGGUUACUGACGUCAGCCAAACUUCGAAUGCCGGUAAGUUGAGCGUGGCAGUGAGACUGCGGGGGAUAAGCUCCGUGGUCGAGAGGGAAACAGCCCAGAUCACCGACUAAGGCCCCUAAGCGUGUGCU